rnacentral:rRNA from 1 species
UGGGGAAUAUUGGACAAUGGGCGAAAGCCUGAUCCAGCCAUGCCGCGUGAGUGAUGAAGGCCCUAGGGUUGUAAAGCUCUUUCGGCGGGGACGAUAAUGACGGUACCCGCAGAAGAAGCCCCGGCUAACUCCGUGCCAGCAGCCGCGGUAAUACGGAGGGGGCUAGCGUUGUUCGGAAUUACUGGGCGUAAAGCGCACGUAGGCGGGUCGUUAAGUCGGGGGUGAAAUCCUGGGGCUCAACCUCAGAACUGCCUUCGAUACUGGCGACCUUGAGUACGGGAGAGGUGAGUGGAAUUCCCAGUGUAGAGGUGAAAUUCGUAGAUAUUGGGAAGAACACCAGUGUCGAAGGCGGCUCACUGGCCCGUAACUGACGCUGAGGUGCGAAAGCGUGGGGAGCAAACA